CACAUGGAUUUCUACUGCUAUUUGGACUUCUCCAAGGAUAGCGCAUCCGGUGUACCCUUUCCUGCCAUCCAAUAAGAGGUUGGGAGGUGGAGGAAGCGAGCAGAGAAGAUCGAUGCAAGAGAUAAAGAAAAGACAGGAGCAGGAAGGUGAAAACAACAAAGGGAAUCAGAAUAGAUAUAUUUGGGAUAAGGUAGAAGAAUAAGUGGAUAGAAGUGUGUCACAGGCAUAUAUUUACCUUUCCAGAUGAGCAAGGAUAAGGAUAAGGAACUUACCACAGAUUUUUCUCUCAAUUCUUAUGUCUUCACAAAGGUGUGUUAAGAAGUUUAAGUAUGUAACAAU
rnacentral:lncRNA from 1 species